GUGCGUUUUCACAGGUGAGGAAUCAGGGGCCCCCUGCAAUUAAUUAAGAAUCAGCGCUGACCCAGAGCGAUGGGCUUCAUGGCCAGUGGCUCCUACAGUAUGUCUCUUUUUCUCUCCUGGGUAUUCUGAGAGCAUGAAGGCCUUCUGACGCAUUCAAAAGAUUUUAUCACCUUAUAGAGCAAGAGUUUACUGUGUGAUCCCCUCAGCCAGCAAGGUGGCCAAUACCUACCUGAGCAAAUCCUUCUUCCAGUGACACAAUGCUAGUCCUGAAAGCAUCUCAUAACUGGUGAUUAUGUAACAAUCAACUACUCUCCACAAUGUUUCUCAACACAUGAAUUAGUGGUCCAGACAUUAUUGCACAGUAGAACUCCCAUUCUAUCUCACAGAGUAGUCAUUUUGUAACACUGUUUAUUUAGGUUUUAACAAUGGAGUUUUACUCUUUCUCUCACCUGCUGCUCAUUGAUGGACUUUGUUAACUCCUGUUCAUUAUUGCAAAUCACUGUAGUGACCAAAAACUCAAAGGCCUCGAUGGGCAACAGGAUUCAGCCACCUGGCUUUCUUAUUUUUCCAAAUAAACAAACAAAUCAAAAGGAACAGAAGGCAGGGAGGUCCCUGAAACCUAUAUUUAACCUGCACUUGGAUCUCAGGAUUAUUAGAAAAAUGCUGAUAAGCAUAACAUUAUGGUUCCAUUUGUUGAUGACUCCGCCUUUGACGUGGCAACUGGCAUUGCACUGUCCAAUUUAGAGAGAAUUUUCCUGAGCACUGUUGCUUUAGGUGGGACAUUCUACAGAUAAGGAAGUGGAACCUCUGAGGGGUUAGGUGACUUCCCAGGUCACCCACAGAGCGGGUGCCCUGACUUCAGGUCCAUUACCCAGCAUCCUGGCACAGCAGAAGAUGUAGCCAGCCCUGCCUCCCAGCGGUCCCCCGGGGAGAGAUGCAGGGAGAGUCUGGGCAGAUUAUUUGAACACGACCAUUUGAACAGCUUGAUGGGAUUUAAUUGUUUGGAAGGUGUUCAACAUGGUAUUUCCAAACACGAAAGGAGAAUGCUGGAGACUGCUUUCCCAGAUAAUGAUCCUGCCUUCAUUUUGGAGAGUGCUUUCGUGUUUACAAAGCACUUUUGCAAUUUUCUUAUUUGAUUCUGGACACAAUCUGGGAUUGGUGUGAAAGGUUUCAUUUUCAUUAACAGAUCCAGCAAUGUACUGGAAAGAAAAAAAAAGAUGCUGGAGGUGAACAAAAGGGAGAGAGGCAGGCCUUUCUACAUCACCUCCCUCCCACUUACCUGUACCUGCAGGCCAGGUGUGCCGAUGGGCGGGGCAGAGAGCCCAGAGCCCAGUUGUUUCUGCUUACAGGCACCGCCCACUUGACUUUCUUGCUGAGGGAGCUCUCUGACCUUAGAGAGAACUGUGUUUUACUGCCUGUGAAGGUGUUUUACGGACUUGAGUUAUUGUCCACAGGGACUCGUUUGAAACCAGCUUAUGGGUGAGUCAAACAGUACAGAUGCAGCUGCUAAGAAAGGGGAGCGAGGGGGCUGGGGGACGCAUUCCAGGCCUGGGGGGGGAGGUCUUUAGGAGGCAUGAAGUCUGAACCCUCCCCCAACUGUGUAUUUAUAAGAUGCCUAGGUGAAAAGCUAGCCUUUUAUUUUAUUUUAUUUUUUUUCAAAAAAAAAGAAUCUUUAGCUAAGAGGACUGCCCUCCCAGGCCUUGGUUGGAUGGAUUUAACUGCAAACACUGCUGAAGCCAUCAUACCAGGAGUCUCUAAGAAAGAAGUGGGGAAAAAUGAAGCAGCAGCUGGGGCCUGAGACUGGGCGGAAGGGUUCUGAGGGUCUGAGGAGGGGGACGUGAUAGCAUCUCUCAACCAAAGUCAGUUUGCAGGUGGUGGCCCCACCAUUUAUCUGGGCGGGGCUUUUGCUGUGUCACCCAGAUAAAGUGUAGGCUCUCCUCCGGGAGCACUCUUCAGCCUCCCCUCCGUGCUGGUUCAGACCACACCCACGAUCACUGACAACUCUUGUCUUUCUAUCCAUAUCCAGGACACAAACAAGCAUGACUCGGUGCUUCAGAGCACACAUCAGAAUAGGAUUAGACUUUAGCAGACUGACACUAAAGAAAUGCAC
ensembl:lncRNA